rnacentral:ribozyme from 1 species
CGGUACCAUGACUAAGCCUUUACGUGGCGGUGCUAUAAGUAAGCUAUAAGCUGAAACUAAUUAGCA